UGGGGAAUAUUGCACAAUGGAGGGAACUCUGAUGCAGCGACGCCGCGUGAACGAAGAAGGCUUUCGAGUCGUAAAGUUCUUUUAUAUGGGAAGAUAAUGACGGUACCAUAAGAAAAAGCCCCGGCUAACUACGUGCCAGCAGCCGCGGUAAUACGUAGGGGGCUAGCGUUGUCCGGAAUCACUGGGCGUAAAGGGUUCGCAGGCGGAAAUGCAAGUCAGGUGUAAAAGGCAGUAGCUUAACUACUGUAAGCAUUUGAAACUGCAUAUCUUGAGAAGAGUAGAGGUAAGUGGAAUUUUUAGUGUAGCGGUGAAAUGCGUAGAUAUAUGGAAGAACACCAAAGGCGAAGGCAGCUUACUGGGUCUAUACUGACGCUGAGGGACGAAAGCGUGGGGAGCAAACAGG
rnacentral:rRNA from 1 species